rnacentral:tRNA from 1 species
GGACUUUAGUUUUGGAAAGUAGUUAUUUUGAACUUAACUUAAGGGUGUUCGAAUCACUCAAAAGUCUG